rnacentral:lncRNA from 1 species
GUGAUACGAUUUCGAACAGAUGCCGAUCAAAUUCGUCCUCAGUCCAAAUAAUUAAACAAAAAAAAUAUGAGAGAGAGAGUAUGUGUUUUGACAGAAUUAAAAAAAAAAGAAGAAAGAACUCUCGACUGCAUGAAAAGAGAACUCUCAGGUUGAAUAAUUAGAGAAAUGAGAAAAAAGAUAUUUUAUAGGCUUAAAGCGGCCGCUGGCGCAUGGAGCACUCGUGGAACGUCUGCCUGC